GCCUCCCCUCAAUGUGACAAUGUGCCACUUUCGCCUUUACAUUCAACAAGAAGUGCAUUAAAUCAACGUAGUUGUUACCAAGUCUCUAUGAAUCAUCCACGAGUUAUAUUUUUUUAAAAGCUUUGAAUUGAAGGUUAAUCUCACUAUACGAAGAUCUGGGACAUUCAGUGCUUUAUAAUUUGUAUAACAGGUUUCACUCGCCUCGCUUUUCUGUUACUUACUGUGGCCGUGGAUUUAUGGCUUCGCUAACAGAGGCCGUUUUACGUCCGGAUCGAUGUCCCCGGACCGGUUGCGUGACGAGGUUUGUUAAUUGAUGACCUACACCAAAAUCCAUUAAGUCUCUGGUGGCAGCAAGGCGUGCAAAAGUGCAGAGCUACGUGCCAAAGCAUACCUCAGUGUACUCGAGAAGAUUAAAUCUUUAUAUUAUGCAUUGUUAAUAAACACGUUAUGAUAAGCUUAUGGAUAGAAAAAAUAUUUACAACAGUCACAGUGUAGGAAGUUCUAAAAUACCACAUAAACGAAAAGCCUUAGAUUUUAUGAUAUUAUCGAAAAUCAUUAAAUGGCAUUCGCUAUAUAUUUCUUUCAAAGUUGACAGUAAUUAGUGGUAAUUUCGAAGCUGUCAGCUUCUAAAAAUAAUAAUUAUCGCGGCCUGUUCAUGAAUCAAAGGAGUAUGGCCUGGUUCAGGUUUAAGUGUUGCCUUAAAUCUGCAGCAUCAAGUCGAGAAAUGCAAAUUUGUUAACAAACGGGAAGUUAAAAUAAAUACGAGCCGACGACCAUGAUGGAGGAUUUGGAAACUUAAAGUGGACACGGACUGCACACCGCAACAUAGCGCUGGUAACCUUCCUACCAGCACUCAGUGCCAUUACUGCCCACUGAGGGUAGCAGACAACCACAAUGUCAGUCGGAGGAAAAACACACAGGAUGGCCCAGCUAGUCUCUGCAGAUGCCAGCGUCAGGAAGAAGGCAGCCUGAUGUGGAGGGAGGAGUAUGCAAAGUUUUCAUCAUGCCUGCGAAUAACUGAUCACUCCGCAGGUGGAACUGUGUCAUGUUUGAGCUCACAGUAGAACCAUCCUAUCUUUUUGCCAACCAGGCCUUGUUUGUUUCCAUAUUUGUUUUUGGAUAAAUUGUGUGUCUUGGUGUUUACCAGUGCUAAACAGUCCUCUUUCUCCACUCCCCAGACACAUCUUGUUAAUAGGAUCAGACAUUUUUAGGACAGUCUCCAAGUAACUGCUAUGUCUCUCUUCCUCUCGUAACUAUAGUGAUUUUUAAUACGCAUUGUUGUCACAAAGUGGCAAAACGAAGUGGUUCAGUGCAACGACUGCCAAACACACAGCAACACGUAUGAGAAAUUUCCAGUUUUUACUUCUGCAUUAAGACCCACAUCACCCUGCCUUCAGUUGCUGCCUGUUUCCGAAACACUUCAUUAGUAAUAAUUCUGGGCGUAAUGACCUCAUAUACAAUUGCGUUUCUAAUGAAGUUAUCUGACUCAUUUUUAACAAGUAUCUCUUCAGUCUUUAAUUGCUCAUUCAGAAAUACCCAGUACCAAUUAAUACACAAAACAUAUGAAUAUUUAAAGUAAUUUUGUAGCACGACUUUUUGGAAUUAAGGAUUAGAGGAGCUUGACCUAGA